CUCUUGCCUGCUGCCACGUAAGAGGUGACUUUGCUGCUCCUCCGCCUUCCACCAUGAUUGUGAGGCCUCCCCAGCCAUGUGGAACUAUCUUUGCAUGUUCUGUCCAGCAAGUUCUCUCUCCAUGAAGACCAUACCACCUAAAGUGACCCCAUCUCAGUCUGUCUGUUGUGAAAAUUUGACAUAUCCCCAGACUGGACUGAGUGAGCUGCUUUAGGAAGCUGUAUGUUUUUGGAAUUUAAUUCAAAUUUAAAUGAGGUUUCCUGCAUGUUUGGACAUUAUACCUCAGAGCCGUGGGUGCCAGAGCCCUGUCCUAUGAAUGUGUCUCUUCUGAAAAUUGCUCUAGGGAUUGGUUUUACUGAUUGGACAAAAAAUAUUUUGAACCAAUUAUAACAAAAUAGCUCAUUUCUCUUUUAUAUACAUCAUGCAAUGUCUUCACAAUCAGAUUAUGAGAUCUCUAAUUACAGAAGAGGAUUUUUAUAUUUCCUACUAGCAAACAUUUGUCCACAAAAGUUAUGAAAAACAGCUGUUAUCUGGAAUGUGGCUUGAAAUAUAUCCUGUUACUCUAAAAUGGUAUUGAUAUGAUUUAUAGUUGUCCUAUUGCAGCGAUUUUAUAAGAACUCAAUCCACAGCUCUUCUAACAUGUCUUGACAGCUUUAUUGAGAUACAAUUUACACAUUAAAAAACUGCAUGCAUUUAAUAUGUACAAUUUGAAUAUUUUUGGCAUAUCUAUGCCCAUAGGAAUUUAUCAUCUACAACCAAGAAAAUCAACAUCUCCAUCAGUCCCCUAAAUUUUCUUCUGUCCCUAUGUAAUCCCUCUUCCUACCUGCCAUCACUAGGUGGUAUGGGCUAAAUUGUGCACUGCCCAUCCCCUCCCCUCCCAUUUUAUAUGUUGAAGUCCUAAUCCCUAGCACCUCAAAACAUGACUGUGUUUGGAAACAGGCCUUCAAAGAGGUGAUUAAGCUACAACAAGGCUGUUAGGAUGAACCCUAAUCUGAUCUGACUGGUGUUCCUAUAAGAAAAGAAAAUUAAGACACACAAAGAGAUACCAGGGUAUAUUUACACAUAGAGGAGACCGCGUGAGGUACAAAGAGAGAAGGCAGCCAUCUGCAAGCUAACAAAAGAAAUCUCAGAAUGAAAUCAACCCACCAACACCUGAUUUCAGACUUCUAGCUUCUGAAACUGAGAGAAAAUAUCUGUUGUUUAAACCAUCAGUCUGUGGUACUUUCUUAGAGCAGCCCUAGCAAACUAUCAUACCAGGCAACCACUGACUAGCCUUCUGUCACUAUAGAUUAGAUUGUAUUUUCUGGAAUUUUAUAUAAAUGUACUCUUUUGGUCUGGCUUGUUUCAUUCAGUAUAAGUUAUUUGAGAUCCAUCCAUGUUGGGUUGUAUCAAUAAUUCAUUCCUUUUUAUUAUUAAUAUUUUGUUGAAUGGAUAUACCACAGUUUAUUCAUCCAUUUAUUUGUUACUGGACAUUUAGGUUGUUUUCUGGUUGAACUGUUACAAAUCAAGCUUCUAUGGACAUUUAUUUACAAGUCUUUUAUGAAUAUGUGCUUUCUUUGAUCUUGGGUAAAUAUCCAAGGUUGGAAUGGCUGGGUCAUAUGAUAGGAGUAUGCUAACCUCUUUAAGAAACUGCUAAACUAUUUUCCAAAAAUUGUACCAUUUUACAUUCCCACCAGCAGUCUUUGAGAGCUCCAGUUGCUCCGUAUCUUUGCCUAAAACUAGUAUGGUCCAUCUUUUUUAAUGUAAUUGUUCUAAUAGGUAUAUAACAGUAUGCUAUUGUGCUUUUUAAAUUUGCAUUGUAUUAUGACAGUGGUAUUGAUGAUCAUCUUUUCAUUGCUUAUUUACCGAAGUACAUCUUUUUUGGUAAAGUGUUUACAUUUUUGCAUUCUUUUUUGAGUUGUUUUUUUAUUACUGAGUUUUGCAGUUUUUAAGUAUAUUCUGAACCCAAGUUCUUAAUCAAAUAAAUGACUUGAAAAUAUACUCAGUCUUUUUAUUCUCUCACUAGAGUCUUUUACAGAAUAGACAUUUUUCAUUUUAAUUAAGUCUAUUUAUCAAUUUAUUAUUUUAUGGAUCAUUUGGUAUUGCAUUUGGAAAAAUCUUUGCCUAACCGAAGGUCAAAAUUCUUCUCUUACAUUUUCUUCUAGAAUUUUUAAAGUUUUAAGAUUUGAAUUUAGGUUUCUAAUCCAUUUUGAAUUGGCGUUUUUGUACUACAUUUUUUUUCCUUCACCUCUAUAUGUAGAAUCAAUUAAGGUAAUAAUAGUUUCUAUCUGAAAUGUCCUGCUAACACACUUACCUAUUUCAAUACUCAUUCUACCUUCCCGUCUCCCUGCAUUUUGUUUUUUUUUUUUACAUCCUUUCACCCAGGCUUUAGCUCCCAUCUCCUUCUAAGUCCUCACGCCCUUGCUGUGUCUAUGAUACUAAUGUGAUUCAGACCAUUUCUCUCCCAGUUUCUUUCCUUCAUAUAUAUGCAAUUUUAAGUCUUUCUUAUUUAAAAUAAUAAUAAUAAUAAUAAUAAUGCUUUUUGAAGCUGCAUAGCUUUCUAACUACAUAACAUUAACUUGCUUUGUUCUUUUCCUAUAAAACUAUUCUCUUGAAAGAAUUAUAUAUUCUCUCAUUUCUCUCUCUUCCAACCAACACUGCCAGGUUUCUGGCCCAGUCAUCGCACUGACACUAUUCUUACCAUCAACACUUGUGAUUUCCCUUUGCCACUUAUACAGAUCCCAUUUCAGCAUUCAUCACACAGGUCUCCCUGGGAGGCAUUUACACUGUGGAUCUCUGUAACUGGAAGGCAUUUCCAAAGCUUGUCUGAGUCUUCCACAUUGUCUCUCCUCUUUCUCUCUGUUACUUGAGACAUGUUUUCUCCAUAUUUUCUCUUCUCAUUCUAUACAUUCCACUGGUGACCACACAUAAAAUCAAGGAAUCAAAUGCCACCUUUGAAAAAUGAAUCUCCUAAGUAGAUUUCUGGUCCAGACUUAUUUACCCAGACCAUCAACUUUCUGUUGUAUAUUUCCAAUAGCAAUGUCAAGUGCAAUACGUGACAAACAUAAUGCCAUUCUUCUUUCACCUAAACACAGGGGUCUUUCAUACUUCCUGUGGGGGUAGACGGCACAUCAUUAACCCUGUCACCUAACCACUGUCCCCUCCAUUCCCAAUGAAAAAUAACCCAGAUAUUUCAGUUACAUCUCCUACAUAUGUCUCCAAUCUAUGCUUUCUCUUCAUAUCCACUGCUUCUCUCCUUAGUAUAUCUCAUCUAAAAUUCUGGAAUAGACUUCAGAUGGACCUGCAGAUUCUAAUUCUUACCCUCUCAACAUUCGACUUGUAUAUUGAUGCAUGAGUAAAGUUUCUGAAACACAAAUAUGUUUAGGGGAAUCCCAUGUAGAUCAUAUAUUUAGGCAACUCUAAUACAGAAAAAAUUGAACCCAUUCUCAUGUAACAUUCAGAUUGUUGUCUUUCUCUCACAUCUCAUCACUAACAACUGCUCUACACAAAAUCUGAGAUCUAGCAAUAGCUAGCUUCAUAUAGUUUCCUGAGCAUGGAAUAUUGAUACAACUUCCAGGCCUCAGAUGAGUGGACAAAAUUAAACUCACAAGGCAGUAAUGGCAUUCAAUCCCUGAAAAUUUCGCUGCUCUUUCUAAAAAGGUAAAAUAUAUUCUGCCUAUUAUAAAGUAAAUGCUGACCUUCCUAUUUUGUUUCUUUUCCUUUACGCUAAUGGAAAAUAACUUUAUGAUUUAAAAUAUAAUUUAUUGUACUUAUAAUAAUUUGUUUUGACUUGAUGGUUAAUGCUUGGGCAUAACUUAAAAUUAGAAUAAAAUGUAUAAAUGUAAAAGAA
rnacentral:lncRNA from 1 species